GAUGAAGAACGUAGCGAAAUGCGAUAAGUAAUGCGAAUUGCAGAAUUCAGUGAGUCAUCGAAUCUUCGAACGCACAUUGCGCCCUGUGGUAUUCCGCAGGGCAUGCCUGUUCGAGCGUCAUUUCAACCCUCAAGCUCUGCUUGGUGUUGGGCCCUGCCCGCUGCGGCCGGCCCUAAAGACAGUGGCGGUGCCGCCUGGCCCUGAGCGUAGUACAUCUCUCGCUCCAGUGCCCGGUGGUAGCCUGCCAGAACCCCAACUCUCGUGGUUGACCUCGGAUCAGGUAGGGAUACCCGCUGAACUUAAGCAUAUCAAUAAGCGGAGGA
rnacentral:misc_RNA from 1 species